UAACACCUUGGUGAAACCCCAAAAAAGGGGAAUAUGACUGAGUCACCUGUUUGUUCCAUGGAAGUGAAUAAGAAUUGACAUCAAUAAGCCUCACCAUAUGGCCAAAAUCAACAAGAAUCACCCAUUCUUAGACUGCAGCUCUCCAAAAUCAGGAGCUAAAUGAGCCUCCUUCUUUCAACAAGUAGCACAUUUCAGAUACUCAGAGAACUGUAAAACUAGGAAAAUGUAUGGCCUCUUAGCAAAGUGAGAAGUAUUUUAACAAGAGAAACAAGAAAUGUCUCAACAAUUAUACAGGAAGUAGGAAGAAAU